UGGGGAAUAUUGCACAAUGGGCGAAAGCCUGAUGCAGCAACGCCGCGUGAGUGAUGAAGGCCUUCGGGUUGUAAAGCACUUUUGUCCGGAAAGAAAUCCUUGGCUCUAAUACAGUCGGGGGAUGACGGUACCGGAAGAAUAAGCACCGGCUAACUACGUGCCGGCAGCCGCGGUAAUACGUAGGGUGCAAGCGUUAAUCGGAAUUACUGGGCGUAAAGCGUGCGCAGGCGGUUUGCUAAGACCGAUGUGAAAUCCCCGGGCUCAACCUGGGAACUGCAUUGGUGACUGGCAGGCUAGAGUAUGGCAGAGGGGGGUAGAAUUCCACGUGUAGCAGGUGAAAUGCGUAGAGAUGUGGAGGAAUACCGAUGGCGAAGGCAGCCACCUGGGCCAAUACUGACGCUCAUGCACGAAAGCGUGGGGAGCAAAACAGGAUUAGAUACCCUGGUAGUCCACGCCCUAAACGAUGUCAACUAGUUGUUGGGGAUUCAUUUCCUUAGUAACGUAGCUAACGCGUGAAGUUGACCGCCUGGGGAGUACGGUCGCAAGAUUAAAACUUAAAUGAAUUGAC
rnacentral:rRNA from 1 species